rnacentral:rRNA from 1 species
AAUAGAUACCCGGGUAGUCCACGCCGUAAACGAUGAGUGCUAAGUGUUAGGGGGUUUCCGCCCCUUAGUGCUGCAGCUAACGCAUUAAGCACUCCGCCUGGGGAGUACGGUCGCAAGACUGAAACUCAAAGGAAUUGACGGGGGCCCGCACAAGCGGUGGAGCAUGUGGUUUAAUUCGAAGCAACGCGAAGAACCUUACCAGGUCUUGACAUCCCAUUGACCGCUAUGGAGACAUGGCUUUCCCUUCGGGGACAGUGGUGACAGGUGGUGCAUGGUUGUCGUCAGCUCGUGUCGUGAGAUGUUGGGUUAAGUCCCGCAACGAGCGCAACCCUUGUUCUUAGUUGCCAUCAUUUAGUUGGGCACUCUAAGGAGACUGCCGGUGACAAACCGGAGGAAGGUGGGGAUGACGUCAAAUCAUCAUGCCCCUUAUGACCUGGGCUACACACGUGCUACAAUGGACGGUACAAACGGUUGCCAACCCGGCGAGGGGGAGCUAAUCCGGAUAAGACCGUUCUCAGUUCGGAUUGUAGGCUGCAACUCGCCUAC